GAUGAACGCUGGCGGCGUGCCUAAUACAUGCAAGUCGAGCGAACAGAUGAGGAGCUUGCUCCUCUGACGUUAGCGGCGGACGGGUGAGUAACACGUGGAUAACCUACCUAUAAGACUGGGAUAACUUCGGGAAACCGGAGCUAAUCCCGGAUAAUAUAUUGAACCGCAUGGUUCAAUAGUAAAAGACGGUUUUGCUGUCACUUAUAGAUGGAUCCGCGCCGCAUUAGCUAGUUGGUAAGGUAACGGCUUACCAAGGCAAGGAUGCGUAGCCGACCUGAGAGGGUGAUCGGCCACCCUGGAACGGAGACACGGUCCAGACUCCUACGGGAGGCAGCAGUAGGGAAUCUUCCGCAAUGGGCGAAAGCCUGACGGAGCAACGCCGCGUGAGUGAUGAAGGUCUUCGGAUCGUAAAACUCUGUUAUUAGGGAAGAACAAAUGUGUAAGUAACUAUGCACGUCUUGACGGUACCUAAUCAGAAAGCCACGGCUAACUACGUG
rnacentral:rRNA from 1 species